UUAUGAUAAUAAUACACUUUAUUUAAACAGAAGUACAUGGUUGAACCAGGAUCAGGACGUCCCUCCUUAAUGAACUCCCUGAGUUCAGAUCACUUCCUGUUUUAACUCCGUUUCCUGUCUCUGUGUCAGAUCCCUCCGCCCCCCCGGUGACCACCUCCUCCUCCUCCUCAGCGGUGACUCCUCCUGUGACCUCGGACGUUGUUCCUCCCAAACCGAAGAAGCCUCGAGGCCUGGAGCUGCCCUCCUCCCCCUCCCUCCCCCCCGGCCUCUCCCUGGAUAAGGUGAAUGCAGCUGUUAACAGUCUCCUGGCUCCUGGAUCAGCAACCAACACCCUGACCCCGACCGUCAUCACCUCCCACGCUCUGACUCCAGUCCUCCUGACUCCGACUCCUCUUCCCUCUACGAUCCACUUCUGGAGCACCUUGAGUCCCAUCGCUCCUCGCUCACCAGCCAAACUCUCCUUCCAGGUAAUAGACGGAGCCCACAGCAGCUGAUGAGUCACAUGAUCGAUUCAGCUCACUCACUUCUCACAGCAGCACUGUGGUUCAUUAAGCUCCAGUUUAGAAACAUCGAACAUGUUCUGAAACACUUCACUUCCUCUGUUCUCCGUCUCCAUACAACUCCUUCUCUGAUGGUGUUGGGAACGUAAAGGAGCGUGUUUGAGUUAUCAGCAUUUAAGAAAACUAAAUUAUUGACAUCAAUAGAAUUAUUAAUGUCAGUAAGAUUAUUAAUGAUUAUUAAUAUUAACGGGGCAGCACCCUGAGAUCAGAGACCAAUGACCAGACUAUAGACUAAGUCAUUAGUAUUCACUCACAAUGUGAACAGUCUGAGUGCUGUUACACAUCCAGAGUGAAGGAGAAGGUUUGAGUUCAAGCACAGACCUCACACCAGCUGUUAUCACAACACAGUCAUCACACCAGCUGUUAUCACAACACAGUCAUCACACC